UACGGAGGGUGCAAGCGUUAUCCGGAUUCACUGGGUUUAAAGGGUGCGUAGGCGGGCGGGUAAGUCAGUGGUGAAAUCUUCGAGCUUAACUCGGAAACUGCCGUUGAUACUACUUGUCUUGAAUACCGUGGAGGUGAGCGGAAUAUGUCAUGUAGCGGUGAAAUGCUUAGAUAUGACAUAGAACACCAAUUGCGAAGGCAGCUCACUACACGAAUAUUGACUCUGAGGCACGAAAGCGUGGGGAUCAAACAGG
rnacentral:rRNA from 1 species